AUCUCUACUUAGUGAUUGCCUUCUUUGGAGUGUUUGGACAGUUACUGAAUGGCAACAUUUGUUUCCCUAUUGAUCUGUGUUUAUUUCUGCAUGAAACAUGAAGAAUAUUCUGGAUCCUAUUUUUUCUUCAAACACUCUACAUAAUUUACUAUAGCUUUUAAAGACUUCCAAGUUCUUUGAUUUACAAAAUUGUGGCUUGGAUGUCAUUGGAAGUAUAUCAAGGAAGCUCUGAGAAUAAAAGCACUCUAGAAUGCUAGCUCAUAUUUUAAUUUGGACAGGAAUUGUUAUUUAUACCAAAUCUAAUUUGGAAAAGACAACUAAAAGAGAAUAUAUACAGUCUUACAACCAUCUAUCUACAAGAUAGACGAUCUCUUCAAAAUGCACUUGCGUACCACAAAGCAGAGUGAGAAAAGCCAUCUCAGUCUUUACUUUUUUAACAGCAUCCAUAACAAAAAUCCAGGAAAAAUGUUUCCAUAUCGCAUGACUUGUGGUUUACUGCCUAAACAUUUGCAUCUGAAAUACUUGGCUGAGGCUGCUGCUGGCUCCAACACAGCAGCUGUAACCAAGGAUUAGAAACAGGCUAGACAGCCCACAGUGCUGUGGUAGAGGAGAGCAGCUUUCACCACUCUGGCAAGCCUCAACAGAGCUUGAGGCACGCUCCUGCAGGCACACUCAGGCUCUCCCCUGGCAGCACUGACCUUUAUCUGCAGGAAACCUGUGCCUGGACACUGGCCAGGAGGUUCUUCAUUUCAACAGAAAUGGAAACCUUUCAAAAUAGAAAGUGCCACUCCUGUGUUUGUGCUUACACACCUUAUUUCUUUGGACUUAAGAUUUAGACCAACCUUGUGGGAUCCGUUUAUACUCGCUAAAAACUCGCUAUAAAGAAGAUCCAAUAAUUUAUUAAACACAAAACUGAGCUGAACAAAUAAGUAUCCAGUAAACCCAAACUCCUCCUGUUACAAGUUUUCUACAAACAGAUUACAAACCUGACACCCUCUCUACCUGAAAUCAAUUUCCAAGUAAUUUGUAUGAAUAAUACUAUUUAUUUAUUUUUUACUGUGUGCACACAUGCAUGUAUAUAUACCUAGCUUGUUAUUACUUAGUUAUAUUUGGGAGUAUAACAUAAGAGCUCAGAAGUUCUGACUGAGUCUGUGCAUCAGAAUACAGCUUCACGUCUGGAGGAAAAUUCAGCUUCUGUGGGGAUUUAUGUGAAUGAUCAAUUAAAGACCUUUCAGAAAGCAACAGUGAACGUUGCUGUCAGUAUCUAGUUAGAGAUUUUAUGGGAUGUUUUGCUACAUAGCACGGUCUUAUUUCAAGUGAAUUUAAAAAAGUCACAAUGAAUAUUUUCCUGGUUCCUCUAGUACAGAUCUUGCAUACUGUCUGCCAGCAAUGGGAACAAAUUGUAAAUCUUUCUGAAGUGAAUCUUGAGCAUCAUGAGUUGUAUCCCCUUAUAGCUAAUGAAUUGAGUUUAGGUAAUGCUAAGCAAAAUUCUUUGUUUUCUAAUGCCUUUUUCACCUGUGAUGGCACGUGGAUGGUGUUUUCAUGUUUUUCUCUGGGGUCUUGAGGACCAGAAUUCUGUGAUGAGUGCUGAGAUUUCUAUGUAAUUGUAUAAUUCCAGAAGUGCAGUUU
ensembl:lncRNA